UCCGUAGGUGAACCUGCGGAAGGAUCAUUAAAAAAAUACGCCUGGUGAAAGUGGAAAACACUGAAUCCAGUGCUGUAUACAACCACCUGUUUACCUUUACCUGUUGCUUCCGUGGAAUUACGGGUGCUCUUCCUGUUCGCAGGCUCGAGUUACCUUCCACGGGUGUAUUUUAAAACUCGUUUUGUAUUAUUGUCUGAUUUAAAAUUUUAAUAAAAGUUAAAACUUUCAACAACGGAUCUCUAGGUUCUCGCAUCGAUGAAGAACGCAGCGAAAUGCGAUAAGUAGUGUGAAUUGCAGAUUUCAGUGAAUCAUCGAAUCUUUGAACGCACAUUGCGCCCUUUGGUAUUCCGAAGGGCAUGUCUGUCUGAGCGUCAAUAAAUCAAUCAAACCUUGGUUUGGUAUUGGGAGAAGUGGUUUUGCCUCUCUCCUUUAAGCUAUUGGCGACGCUAUUCAGCUUGUAAGACGUAGUAAGUAAUUUCUCGUUAAAGCAACUGUAUGGCUGUCUGCCAAAUGAACGAUUUAUUUUACAGCUUGACCUCAGAUCAGGUAGGGAUACCCCUGAACUUAAGCAUAUCAAUAAGGCGGGGGAGGGGAAGGGUCGGACUGGCCCAAGGGGCACACAGGGGGGAUA
rnacentral:rRNA from 1 species